CACUCCUGCGGGAGGCAGCAGUGGGGAAUAUUGGACAAUGGGCGCAAGCCUGAUCCAGCCAUGCCGCGUGAGUGAUGAAGGCCCUAGGGUUGUAAAGCUCUUUCACCGGUGAAGAUAAUGACGGUAACCGGAGAAGAAGCCCCGGCUAACUUCGUGCCAGCAGCCGCGGUAAUACGAAGGGGGCUAGCGUUGUUCGGAUUUACUGGGCGUAAAGCGCACGUAGGCGGACUAUUAAGUCAGGGGUGAAAUCCCGGGGCUCAACCCCGGAACUGCCUUUGAUACUGGUAGUCUUGAGUUCGAGAGAGGUGAGUGGAAUUCCGAGUGUAGAGGUGAAAUUCGUAGAUAUUCGGAGGAACACCAGUGGCGAAGGCGGCUCACUGGCUCGAUACUGACGCUGAGGUGCGAAAGCGUGGGGAGCAAACAGGAUUAGAAACCCUAGUAGUCCCAUGA
rnacentral:rRNA from 1 species